rnacentral:misc_RNA from 1 species
AUGAAGAACGUAGCGAAAUGCGAUAAGUAAUGUGAAUUGCAGAAUUCAGUGAAUCAUCGAAUCUUUGAACGCACAUUGCGCCCGCCAGUAUUCUGGCGGGCAUGCCUGUUCGAGCGUCAUUACAACCCUCAGGCCCCCGGGCCUGGCGUUGGGGAUCGGCGGAAGCCCCCUGCGGGCACAACGCCGUCCCCCAAAUACAGUGGCGGUCCCGCCGCAGCUUCCAUUGCGUAGUAGCUAACACCUCGCAACUGGAGAGCGGCGCGGCCACGCCGUAAAACACCCAACUUCUGAAUGUUGACCUCGAAUCAGGUAGGAAUACCCGCUGAACUUAAGCAUAUAAUAAGCGGAGGA